rnacentral:rRNA from 1 species
GACGAACGCUGGCGGCGUGCUUAACACAUGCAAGUCGAACGGAAAGGCCCUGCUUUUGUGGGGUGCUCGAGUGGCGAACGGGUGAGUAACACGUGAGUAACCUGCCCUUGACUUUGGGAUAACUUCAGGAAACUGGGGCUAAUACCGGAUAGGAGCUCCUGCUGCAUGGUGGGGGUUGGAAAGUUUCGGCGGUUGGGGAUGGACUCGCGGCUUAUCAGCAUGUUGGUGGGGUAGUGGCUUACCAAGGCUUUGACGGGUAGCCGGCCUGAGAGGGUGACCGGCCACAUUGGGACUGAGAUACGGCCCAGACUCCUACGGGAGGCAGCAGUGGGGAAUAUUGCACAAUGGGCGGAAGCCUGAUGCAGCAACGCCGCGUGCGGGAUGACGGCCUUCGGGUUGUAAACCGCUUUCGCCUGUGACGAAGCGUGAGUGACGGUAAUGGGUAAAGAAGCACCGGCUAACUACGU